GACAGAGGGUGCAAACGUUGCUCGGAAUCACUGGGCGUAAAGGGCGUGUAGGCGGGUAGAUAAGUCGGGCGUGAAAUCCCUAGGCUCAACCUAGGAACUGCACUCGAAACUGUUUAUCUUGAGUGCCGGAGAGGAAAGCGGAAUUCCUGGUGUAGAGGUGAAAUUCGUAGAUAUCUGGAGGAAUACCGGUGGCGAAGGCGGCAUCCUGGACCGGCAUUGACGCUGAUGAGCGAAAAGCUAGGGGGAGCAAACGGGG
rnacentral:rRNA from 1 species